CAGAUGUAGGGUUGGUGAAGAUCCUUUCCCAGUCUGUAGGCUGUUGUUUUGUUCUGAUGACAGUGUCCUUUGCUUUACAGAAGCUUUUCAGUUUCAUGAGAUCCCAUUUAUUGAUUGUUGCUCCUAGAGCCUGUGCUGUUGGUGUUCUGUUCAGGAAGUUGUCUCCUGUAUCAAUAAGCUCAAGGCUCUUCCCAUUUUUUUCUUCUAACAGGUUUAGUGUGUCUGAUUUUAAGUUGAGGUCUUUGAUCCACUUGGACUUUAGUUUUGUGCAGGGUGAUAAAUUUUGAUCUAUUUGCGUUUUUCUACAUGUAGACAUCCAGUUAGACUAGUACCAUUUGUUGAAGAUGCCAUCCUUUUCCCAUUGCAUUGUUUUGGCUUCUUUGUAAAAAAUCAAGUAUCUGUAGGUGUGUGGGUUUAUUUCUGGGUCUUCUAUUUGAUUCAUUGAUCUGAUCCACCAUUCUGUUUCUCUGCCAGUACCAUGCAGUUUUUAUUACUGUGGCUCCACAGUACAGCUUAAGAUCAGGGAUGGAGAUACCUUCAGAAGAUCUGUUAUUGUACAGGAUUGUUUUAGAUAUUCUGGGUUUUUUGUUUUUCCAUAUGAAAUUGAGAACUGUUCUUUCAAAUUAUAAUCCUCAUUCAGAAGAGCAAACGUUAUUGACAAUAACAGCCUCUUCUACCUGCCUCUCUGUGAGCAUGGCCUCAGUGUAAGUACCCAGUGUGUGUGGUCCCCUCACACCUGCCUCUGUGUGGGUGUGGCCCCUUCACACCUGCCCCCUGUGGCUCCAUAUCUGGCUCCUUGAGGACAGUUUCUCUCCAGCUGAAGGAGGACCCGCUGGACUGGACCCCACUGUGGCGCUUCCACUCAGUCUUCCAAGAUUUCACCUGGAAAGCUCAGCCGCUGGGUUCUCACAUCCUUUGAUUCCAGCAUGUUUGCUUUCCUCAAGCCUCACCCUCACCAGGAGUAGGUCUGUGAAUGGAAGAUGGAAGAAAGGAAAAAGGACAGAUGCUGGCUGCCUCCAGAGGCCCUGGGCUGGGUCCACACUUGGGAUUUGUGGACUCAAGGUGCCCUCAGAGUUUUCCCGAUGCUUUUUGCCGUAUACCUUGGUUGUGACGUGGUCACUGCGCCUCCUUG